rnacentral:rRNA from 1 species
UACGUAGGGUGCAAGCGUUAAUCGGAAUUACUGGGCGUAAAGCGUGCGCAGGCGGUUGUGCAAGACAGAGGGGAAAUCCCCGGGCUUAACCUGGGAAUGGCCUUUGUGACUGCACGGCUAGAGUGUGUCAGAGGGGGGUAGAAUUCCACGUGUAGCAGUGAAAUGCGUAGAGAUGUGGAGGAAUACCGAUGGCGAAGGCAGCCCCCUGGGAUAACACUGACGCUCAGGCACGAAAGCGUGGGGAGCAAACAGG